CCUACGGGUGGCUGCAGUGGGGAAUCUUGCGCAAUGGGCGAAAGCCUGACGCAGCGACGCCGCGUGAGUGAUGAAGGCCUUCGGGUUGUAAAGCUCUGUGGAGAGGGACGAAUAAGUGCUGGCUAAUAUCCAGCGCGAUGACGGUACCUCUUUAGCAAGCACCGGCUAACUCUGUGCCAGCAGCCGCGGUAAGACAGAGGGUGCAAACGUUGUUCGGAAUUACUGGGCGUAAAGCGCGUGUAGGCGGCUCUGCAAGUCGGGUGUGAAAGCCCUGG
rnacentral:rRNA from 1 species